rnacentral:misc_RNA from 1 species
UUUCCGUAGGUGAACCUGCGGAAGGAUCAUUAAAGAGUAAGGGUCUUCGGGCCCGAUCUCCAACCCUUUGUUUAACUACCAUGUUGCUUUGGCGGGCCCGUCUCACGACCGCCGGAAGUUUGGCUUCGACCAAACUUCUGGCCCGUGCCCGUCAGUGGCCCCUUCAAAUUCUUGAUCAAGUAUGAUGUCUUAGUUAAAAACUUAAUAGUCAAAACUUUCAACAACGGAUCUCUUGGUUCUG